GAUGAACGCUGGCGGCGUGCCUAAUACAUGCAAGUCGAGCGAACAGAUAAGGAGCUUGCUCCUUUGACGUUAGCGGCGGACGGGUGAGUAACACGUGGGUAACCUACCUAUAAGACUGGGAUAACUUCGGGAAACCGGAGCUAAUACCGGAUAACAUUUGGAACCGCAUGGUUCUAAAGUGAAAGAUGGUUUUGCUAUCACUUAUAGAUGGACCCGCGCCGUAUUAGCUAGUUGGUAAGGUAACGGCUUACCAAGGCGACGAUACGUAGCCGGCCUGAGAGGGUGAGCGGCCACACUGGAACUGAGACACGGUCCAGACACCUACGGGAGGCAGCAGUAGGGGAUCUUCCGCAAUGGGCGAAAGCCUGACGGAGCAACGCCGCGUGAGUGAUGAAGGGUUUCGGCUCGUAAAACUCUGUUAUUAGGGAAGAACAAACGUGUAAGUAACUGUGCACGUCUUGACGGUACCUAAUCAGAAAGCCACGGCUAACUACGUGCCAGCCGCCGCGGUAA
rnacentral:rRNA from 1 species